CCUACGGGUGACAGCAGUCGAGAAUCAUUCACAAUGGGGGAAACCCUGAUGGUGCGACGCCGCGUGGGGGAAUGAAGGUCUUCGGAUUGUAAACCCCUGUCAUGUGGGAGCAAAUUAAAAAGAUAGUACCACAAGAGGAAGAGACGGCCAACUCGGUGCCAGCAGCCGCGGUAAUACAGAGGUCUCAAGCGUUGUUGGGAACCACUGGGCGUAAAGCGUGCGUAGGCUGUUUCGUAAGUUGUGUGUGAAAGGCGCGGGCUCAACCCGCGGGCGGCACAUGAUACUGGGGGACUAGAGUGAGGGAGAGGGAAGCGGAAUUCUCGGUGUAGCAGUGAAAUGCGUAGAUAUCGAGAGGAACACUCGUGGCGAAGGCGGGUUCCUGGACAUUAACUGACGCUGAGGCACGAAGGCCAGGGGAGCGAGAGGGAUUAGAUACCCGAGUAGUC
rnacentral:rRNA from 1 species